rnacentral:rRNA from 1 species
AACGAACGCUGGCGGCAUGCCUAACACAUGCAAGUCGAACGGGAUCCUGGUUUCGGCCAGGUGAGAGUGGCGGACGGGUGAGUAACGCGUGGGAACCUGCCCAGUGGUGGGGGGAUAACUGCGGGAAACUGCAGCUAAUACCGCAUGAGCCCGAAAGGGGAAAGAUUGAUCGCCAUUGGAGGGGCCCGCGUUCGAUUAGGUAGUUGGUGAGGUAACGGCUCACCAAGCCUUCGAUCGAUAGCUGGUCUGAGAGGAUGAUCAGCCACACUGGGACUGAGAUACGGCCCAGACUCCUACGGGAGGCAGCAGUGGGGAAUAUUGGACAAUGGGGGC